rnacentral:lncRNA from 1 species
UUUUAAUUGCCAGAGCAAAGAGAUCUCUCUAUAGACUGGUUUCUGGCUCCUAGAGAGGACUUAUUUUGCAGUUAUAUGAAGACAUUUCUCUUCAGCCAUAUGACAUCAUGGGAAAAAUCUGGUCAGAGGAACCACGUUUGAGAAGAUCUUGCCCAAGUCCCUUGAAGAUGAUCAGAGCCUAAUUUUCCAAUCUGUAAAUUGGGGAUCAAAACCACCUUCCUCACAAGGUACUGUAAGAAUUAACUGGAGAGAUGGGAAAGUCGUAUGUAAACCCUAAUGGAUUAUAGAACUGUUCUCUUUCAUUCGAUAGAACACUGUAAUUUCAGAAAUUCUUUCUUUGGAUGCUUCCCCCUUCCCAAACACCUGGGGCUCAACCUUCUUACCCCUUGCUCCGUGGAGCAGUGAUGAUAAGUAGAAUCCUCACUCCCCUCCCAAUACAAUUGGCUGGCGUGGCCUGCCCUGAGGCUAAAGGCUUCUUCAGUAUUUUGACUUUUUCCAAGGGCUCUCAAAGAGGAUACACUUUAUGGUCAUUAGAAAGGAAUAUUUCACCUUAGAUAGCAGUUCAAACUUCCCACUUUGAACCCCUAAGUGAAUCUAUACAACUUAGAUUUAUUAACAAACCUUUUGUUAUUGUUGAGAAUUUUAAAAAGAAAUUCAUUUUUCUUAAGUCAUUAUUUGGAUUUGCUCAGUAUUUGUUUAUUGGACUUAUGUGGGAGUGGUAACCAGAGCAAUGUAAGAGGAAAAGUACUAGAAUAGAAUUCAUAAAGAUGAGGAUCUUCAGCCUGGCUCUUUCUCUUUCCAUCUGUGUAAUUUUGAGCAAAUGUCUUGACCUCUCUG